rnacentral:rRNA from 1 species
UAAUACUCCAUAGUUCAUGGAAUCUGGAAUGAUCCAUGGAUGAAAGUUCCGGCGCUUAAGGAUCGGUCUGCGGCCUAUCAGGUCGUAGUGGGUGUAACGUACCUACUAGCCUAUGACGGGUAUGGGCCUUGAGAGAGGGAGCCCAGAGUUGGAUUCUGAGACACGAAUCCAGGCCCUACGGGGCGCAGCAGUCGCGAAAACUUCACAAUGGGGGCAACCCCGAUGAGGGAAUUCCUAAUGCUAGCACAUUUGUGUUAGCUUUUCUUUAGCGUAGAUAACUAGAGGAAUAAGGGCUGGGAAAGACGGGUGCCAGCCGCCGCGGUAAUACCUGCAGCCCAAGUGGUGGUCGAGUUUAUUGAGUCUAAAACGUUCGUAGCCGGUUCGGUAAAUCUUUGGGUAAAUCGGGGGGCUUAACCUUCCGACUUCCGAGGAGACUGCCGAACUUGGGACCGGGAGAGGCUAGAGGUACUCCUGGGGUAGGGGUAAAAUCCUGUAAUCCUAGAAGGACCACCGGUGGCGAAGGCGUCUAGCUAGAACGGAUCCGACGGUGAGGGACGAAGCCCUGGGUCGCAAACGGGAUUAGAUACCCCGGUAGUCCAAAGUGUAAACGCUGCAGACUUGGUGU